GAGCACGACAUAGCCCAACUCCAAGAUGAUUGAAGACUGAUGAACAACAUAGGAAAACCCAAGUAGUUGUUCCUGUGAGUUUGUUUUUGUUGUGAAAAGCGACAUCGUUUAGUUUGAGAGAAAAGCACGAUGGAGAGGGGUAAGAACGCGUCAUGUCCGGCACCGAUGAGGGCGGAGUCGAACGGAGGGUUCCAACAUGAAAACCCUAUGGAUUAUGCGCUUCCUCUGUUAAUACUCCAGAUAUGUUUGGUCGUUGCUUUUACUAGAUUUCUUGCAUUCCUCUUCAGACCACUCAGACAACCCAGAGUCAUUGCUGAAAUCAUCGGAGGAAUACUACUUGGGCCAUCAGCAAUUGGACGAAACGAGAAGUUUUUGAAUGCGGUUUUUCCAGAGAAAAGCAUCACAGUUCUUGAAACACUGGCCAACAUAGGUCUUCUGUUCUUUUUGUUUCUCGUGGGGCUUGAGCUUGACAUGCGUGCAAUUCGACGAACUGGUCGUAAGGCCCUUGGCAUUGCCAUCUGUGGGAUCAUUAUCCCUUUUCUUCUCGGAAUUGCCACUUCCAUUGCUCUUCGAGCCACUAUAUCCAAAGGUGCUGACCUCUUUCCUUUUAUACUCUUCAUGGGUGUUGCUCUCUCCAUCACCGCCUUCCCUGUCCUCGCCAGGAUCCUGGCUGAGCUUAAACUCCUCACCACUGACGUUGGUCGCAUUGCAAUGUCUGCUGCUGCUGUCAAUGAUGUUGCAGCUUGGAUUCUUCUUGCUCUUGCCAUAGCCCUCUCUGCUUCAGAUGCAUCCCCGUUUGUUCCUCUUUGGGUAUUGCUCUGUGGUGUUGCUUUUGUCAUCUUUGUUGUCUUUGCCAUUAGGCCCUUGCUUGUGGCUAUGGCUAACCGUUCCCUGGAGGGUGAGCCGGUGAAGGAGGUGUACAUAUGCAUCACAUUGACUCUGGUUUUGGUCUGUAGUUUUGUCACUGAUACUAUUGGAAUCCAUUCCCUCUUUGGGGCUUUUGCGGUUGGUACUAUUAUACCCAAAGAAGGUUCCUUCUCUAGGGUGUUGACUGAGAGGAUAGAAGACCUGGUUUCUGGCCUUUUCAUGCCACUGUAUUUUGUCUCCAGUGGCUUGAAGACCGAUGUGGCAACAAUUAAUGGAGGUCUUUCUUGGGCAAUGCUAAUGCUUGUUAUAUUCAAUGCUUGCUUCGGGAAGAUUAUUGGUACUACUGUUGUUUCCUUAUUGUGUAAGGUGCCUUCCACAGAAGCCCUGGCUCUUGGAUUCCUCAUGAACACAAAAGGCUUGGUAGAACUCAUUGUUCUCAACAUUGGGAAGGACCGUAAGGUGUUGAAUGACCAAGCAUUUGCCAUUUGUGUUGUCAUGGCAUUGUUUUCUACCUUCAUCUCCACCCCAAUGGUGAUGGUUGUAUAUAAACCAGCUCGUAGAGGAGCACCUUACAAGCGCAAAACAAUUCAACGAGAUCCCGACACCGAGCUUCGAAUGCUAGCUUGCUUCCACAACACCCACAACAUUCCCUCGCUAAUCAAUCUAAUAGAGUGUUCCCGUGGAACCGGAAGAAAAGGAAAGCUUUGUAUAUACACAAUGCAUUUGAUGGAGCUCUCAGAGCGAUCUUCGGCAAUCACAAUGGUUCACAUGGCACGCAAGAACGGGAUGCCCUUUUGGAACAAAAAGCGGAAUGGCAAAGAUCAAAUGAUCAUAGCUUUUCAGGAUUAUGAGAAACUGAGUGGUGUCAGUGUCCGCCCCAUGACAGUCAUUUCUGGUCUGAAUAGCAUCCAUGAGGAUAUCUGUACUACUGCUCACAGAAAGCGUGCAGCCAUGAUCAUCCUUCCAUUCCACAAACAGCAACGUGUGGAUGGAACGAUGGAGUCAGUGGGACAUUCAUUCCAAGAGAUGAAUCAACUUGUGCUAUGCCAUGCUCCUUGCUCGGUGGGGAUUUUUGUUGAUCGAGGUCUUGGAGGGACAAGCCAAGUUCAAGCUAGUGAUGUGUCUUAUGAGAUAGUGGUACCUUUCUUUGGAGGGCAUGAUGAUCGUGAAGCCCUUUGUUAUGGAAUGAGAAUGGGUGAGCACCCUGGAAUUUUUGUAAAUGUGUAUAAGUUUGUAACUCCAGCAGGGACAUCAUUGGUUGGGGAGUCAUCAAACAAAAAUACGAAAGCAAUGGAUGUGAUUGACGGCAACGAUUAUGAUGAUAAGAAAGAGGAUGAUGAAUUGUGGAACGAGUUUUUAAGUGCAUGCAACAGGAGCAGCCAAGAGACAAUGAAGUAUGAGGAAAAGGUAGUAGAAAGCAAAGGAGAUAUUGAGAUAGCAUUGAAGGAAAUGAAUAGAUGCAACCUUAUAGUGGUUGGUAGAAUGCCAUCAGUGGCAGCUUUGGGUAGCAUAAGUGAUUGUCCAGAGCUUGGACCUGUGGGAAGCUUUGUUGCUUCUUCAGAUUUUUCCACCGUUACGUCUGUUAUGGUAAUUCAGCAGUACAAUCCAUCAACUGACAUUCAUCCGUUUGUGAGGGAGGAAUCUGAUUUACCAGAUAUUGCAGAUGCGCCAAGGGGUUAAUAUGCAAAAGUAACAAAAUCGUGGUUUUGGAGUAUUCGGCAGGACAGAAAAAAAAAUGGGCAUUAGAUGGGCUUGGGCUUUGCAUAGGUGGAUUAUCAUGGGCCGGAGGCGAGGAAGGAUGGGACAGUGACAAGAGGAAAAUGGCUAUGUUAAUGUCCAGAAAUUCACUUAUGCUGAACCCGUCGGAGUUUCCUAUACAUUACGUUAGUUAAGAUAUAGAUAGAAAUUGAAAACUAUGAAUAUGAUAAUUAUGUUAAGUUAUUUGAAAACAUAUCUAUUUAUGUGACAACUUCACUUAAUGUAUUUGGUUAAUUUAAUUCAAAUUUUAAGUUAAAUUAAAA